UGCCGCGUGGUGAAGAAGGUCUUCGGAUUGUAAAGCCUUUCGGCGGGACGAUGAUGACGGUACCGCAGAAGAAGCCCGGCUAACUUCGUGC
rnacentral:rRNA from 1 species